rnacentral:lncRNA from 1 species
GUGGGUCCUCUGCUCCCUCUCUCACCUGCACAUAAGGAAAGGAAGAAAGUCGUCUUUCCGAGCAUCAGCUUCCUUCUGUAUCCCACAGCCGUGUGGACUUUGAUUAACACACAAAGUGCAAAUUUCCAAUUAUAGAUAUCAUUUAGCCACCAUGGCACCAUGAGGGGAAAGAAAAAAAAAAAAAACAUAGUGAAAAUCGAAUCAAAGGCAGUACAUGAAUCAUCAACUCGGAACUCAGACCUCAAAGAUGUCCUGGGCGACCUCAGUAAGUCCGGUGGAUUCUCUGUCGGGUUAGAAAUAUUAACAUGAAUCUCACGGAUCCUGGCAUCACCUGGAAAAGCACGUGUUGCUUUUCAACAACACACUACGAGAACUUCCACAAGCACUUAAUCUUCG